UAGUAACGGCGAGUGAAGCGGGAUGAGCUCAAGCUUAAAAUCUCUGUGCCAGUUUGGCAUGGCGAAUUGUAGUCUAUAGAGGCGUUGUCAGUGCGGCUGUGCGGGGUAAGUUCCUUGGAAGAGGACAGCAUCGAGGGUGAUACUCCCGUUUGUACCUGUGCGGCUUGCGCGUACGACACGUUUUCUUCGAGUCGCGUUGUUUGGGACUGCAGCGCAAAGUAGGUGGUAAAUUCCAUCUAAAGCUAAAUAUUGGUGCGAGACCGAUAGCGAACAAGUACCGUGAGGGAAAGAUGAAAAGAACUUUGAAAAGAGAGUUAAAGAGUACCUGAAACUGCUGAAAGGGAAGCGAAUCGUAUCCAGUGUCUAUAAUCUGCGGCAUAUUUCAUUGGCGGCGGUGUGCGUGCUUUUGCGUCGGAAGCGGCUUUUGUUGCUCUGUGCUUUUGCUGUGCGUGCUGUUGCUGGUGCCCUGUGUUGCGGUGGGACGUCAGAGUCAGUUUGUAUGCUGCGGGAAAUGGCUGCCGAGGAGGUAGGUCAGGAUUUCGGUCUUGGCUGUUAUAUCUUGGUGGUUUGUUGUCGUGGUUGAGACUGAGGUGCCUACAAUGUGCUUUUGAGUGUGCCGGGUUCUCAUUUGGUGGACUGUUUGGAUAGCUUGCUAUGCUUGUGGUUUUUUCAUCGGGUGAUUGAGUCUGGUGGUAACUUAUUGCCGUUC
rnacentral:rRNA from 1 species